rnacentral:rRNA from 1 species
GUCGACCUGAGUUCAGGCAGGGCUACCCGCUGAACUUAAGCAUAUCAAUAAGCGGUGGAAAAGAAACCAACCGGGAUUCCCUUAGUAACGGCGAGCGAACAGGGAUGAGCCCAGUAUGUAAAUCUCCAGCCUCGGGGCUGGCGAAUUGUAGUCUGGAGGAGUGCUCCCUGGAGGGCUGCUGGCCGAAGUAUACUGGAAGGUAUCGCUGGAAAGGGUGAGAGCCCCGUAGGUCAGUUCUGUCUUCCUUCACGGGACGCUUUCGAAGAGUCGGGUUGUUUGGGAAUGCAGCCCUAAUUGGGUGGUAAACCCCAUCUAAGGCUAAAUAUCAAUGGGAGACCGAUAGCGAAAAAGUACCUCGAGGGAACGAUGAAAAGACCGCUGGCAAGCGAGUAAAAGAGUGCAUGAAAUUGUGUAGUGGGAAGGGAUGACCCGGUAGCAUGCGCUUGGGCUGAUAUGGCUCGACAGAGCUGUUGUUUGCACCAAGUGCUGGCUGGCACCGGCACAUCUGGCUGUACAACCCUUGACUAAGGUGUCAGGCACUGCGGUCGGAUGUGCCGAGGUGGAUCAGUGCUUUGCCCUUCGGGAGCUGCUCUGACAGGGUGCCAGCUGAAGCCGGUU